rnacentral:rRNA from 1 species
AGACGUAGGGGGCGAGCGUUGUCCGGAAUUACUGGGCGUAAAGAGCACGUAGGCGGAUGUAUAAGUCAGGUGCGAAAGACCGCAGCCUAACUGCGGGGUUGCACUUGAAACUGAAUAUCUUGAGGGCAGGAGAGGUUAGUGGAAUUCCUGGUGUAGCGGUGAAAUGCGUAGAAAUCAGGAGGAACACCAGUGGCGAAGGCGACUGACUGGACUGACCCUGACGCUGAGGUGCGAAAGCGUGGGUAGCAAACAGGAUUAGAUACCCUGGUAGUCCGCGCCGUAAACGAUGGAUACUAGGUGUGGGAGGUAUCGACCCCUUCCGUGCCGGAGCAAACGCAAUAAGUAUCCCGCCUGGGGAGUACGGUCGCAAGGCUGAA